CAGGGUCCUUUAAGGGCCUUAUCCCUUCCUCCCAAGGAGGACAGUCCAGCCUGGCUCUCUGGCCCUGGCGGGAGAACGCAGGGAACCGCAGACGGUACCCCUCGAGCCCGGUCCCCGCGGACCUGCCAUCGGGACCCGCGCUCCCAGCCCCCGCCCGGCCCGCGUGGCCCGGCUUCUGCCCCGGCGGCCCCCGGCGCGGCGGGGGUCCGCCUCCCCGCGCAGGCCGGCCUAGGUGUCCCGGCGGCUCCCGGGCGCCCCCUGGCCCGGCUCCGGCGCCCGAGGUUUCCGGUGAGCUGCAGUCGCCGGUUAUGACGACUCCCUCCUCCGGAGCAGCCGCCGCCGCCGCUGCCUUCUCCGCAGCCCCGGUUCGCCCGACUCCAGGUUUGGAGGUUGCUAUGUUUAUGCUGCUUGUCUUUGGAGCAUUGCUUCAUGAAGUUCCCCUGAGUGGCCGAGACGAGGUUCCUCCCCAGGCUGAUGGCAUUCUGGGUGCCCCUCUGUUCAACUAUGCCAGCCUCCGCCUGCCAGAAGAGCAUAUUCCCUUCUUUUUGCACAAUAAUAGGCAUAUUGCCAUGGUCUGUAAGAAAGACUCUCAUUGUCCUUAUAAGAAACACUUAGAAAAUUUAAAGUACUGCUGGGGUUAUGAGAAAUCCUGCAGACCAGAGUUCAGGUUUAGUUACCCUGUUUGCACCUACGUGGAUAUGGGAUGGACGGACACUCUUGAAUCAGCCCAGGAAAUAUUCUGGAAGCAAGCUGACUUUGGGUAUUCUCGAGAGCGGCUGCAGGAACUCCAUGUGCUCUGCCAGCCGAAGGGAAUGAAUGACUCAAGUCUAGUGUGUUCCCGUUACCUUCAGUACUGCAGAGCGACCAAUCUCUACCUUGAUUUAAGAAACAUCAAGAGAAACCACGACAGAUUUAAGGAAGAUUUUUUCCAGAGCGGGGAAAUCGGAGGACACUGUAAACUUGACAUUCAUAUGUUGAUGUCUCAAGGCCAGCGCAAAAGCCCUUUGCAGUCUUGGUUUGCUGAGCUACAAAGCUAUACUCAGCUCAACUUCAGACCAGUAGAAGAUGCUAAGUGUGACAUUGUUAUUGAGAAACCAACCUACUUCAUGAAAUUAGAUGCAGGUGUUAACAUGUAUCACCACUUCUGUGAUUUCAUCAAUCUUUAUAUUACUCAGCACAUUAAUAAUUCCUUCAGCACAGAUGUGCACGUUGUGAUGUGGGACACAAGCUCCUACGGAUAUGGUGACCUGUUCUCCGAUACAUGGAAAGCAUUUACUGAUUAUGAUGUUAUACAUUUGAAAACUUAUGAUUCCAAAAGGGUAUGUUUUAAAGAAGCUGUUUUUUCCUUACUCCCCCGGAUGAGGUACGGGCUGUUCUAUAAUACCCCUCUGAUCUCUGGCUGUCAAAAUACCGGAUUAUUCCGGGCAUUUUCUCAGCAUGUACUACACAGACUGAACAUCACACAAGAGGGUCCCAAGGAUGGAAAAAUUCGAGUCACCAUUCUCGCACGGAGCACAGAAUACCGGAAAAUACUCAACCAAAAUGAGCUUGUAAAUGCACUGAAAACGGUAUCUACAUUUGAGGUCCAGAUUGUCGAUUAUAAGUAUAAGGAGCUUGGGUUUUUAGAUCAGCUAAGGAUCACGCAUAACACGGACAUAUUUAUUGGAAUGCAUGGAGCUGGUCUUACCCAUUUACUUUUCCUUCCAGACUGGGCUGCUGUGUUUGAACUAUACAACUGUGGAGAUGAACGCUGUUACUUGGACCUGGCCAGGCUGAGAGGCGUCCACUACAUCACUUGGAGAAGGCAGAGCAAAGUCUUUCCUCAAGAUAAGGGCCACCACCCAACUCUGGGGGAACACCCGAAGUUUACCAACUACUCUUUUGAUGUAGAAGAAUUUAUGUACCUUGUCCUUCAGGCUGCAGACCACGUAUUGCAACACCCGAAGUGGCCAUUUAAGAAAAAACAUGAUGAGCUAUAAAUGUGUUGAGUCUUUUUGCCAAAAGGGAGUGUUUAGACGGUCCUCCGCCCAGACUCACCUCACAGUUAAAUAGUUAUCUGGCUGCUCCAGGUCUUAGUUGCAGCACGCGGGAUCUUCAUGGCUGGAUCUAGUUCCCUGAACAGGGAUUGAACCUGCGCCCCCUGCAUUGGGAGCGUGGAGUCUUAACCACUGGACCACCAGGGAAGUCCCAGAAUUGUUCCCAUGUUUAACGUGAAACGAGUCAGAUGCUGUUUAAAGGACUUCUCUAAAGAUCACAGGUCUUCUGAUUCCAUGUCCAUAGUUCUCCAUUUAUUCACUCAAUUAUUUACUAUUGAUGGAGCAACUACUGGGUACCAUCUCUACUCUAGGUUCUGGGGAUACAGCAGUGAGCAGAACAGAAAAAAGUCCUUGCCUUCAUGGACCUUGCGUUCCGGUGGAGGAGACAGAUAUUAACCUACAUAAGGGAAAUAUAUUGUGUGCUGGAUGUUGAUACAUGGUAUGGACAAAACUAAAACGGGGACGAGGGAUGUGGCGCUCUGGGGUGGGGUGGAGCUGGGCACACUUAGGUAGAGGAUAAGGAAAUCGUCGCUGAGGUCACCUUUGAGUCAAGAUUGAAAGCAGCUAAAGGAGGAGGAAAGUAGACAGCAGAGCAAAGAGCAUCCCAGGAAGACCGGAUGGUGCGUGCCAAGGUCUUGAGGCAGGAGGAUGCCUGGUGUGUUUGAGGAACAGCAAGGAAGCCAGUGUAGCUGGAGUGAUCGAGGGGCAGAGGGGUAGGAGAUGAGGUCAAAGAGGCAAUGGGCUUGGGGUGCAGAUGGCAAGGCGCUUGUCCUUUGAUGCUUAUGAGUUGGGAGUCAUUGAAAGGAUCUCAAACAGGAGGAAUGACCCGACUUACUUUGAAGAGGCUUUGAAGAGGCUAACUCUACCUGUUAUGCUGGGAAUAGACUGUGGAGGGAUGUCUUAGGUCGUGUUCCCUGGGAAAUAGACUCUGGGAUGGAGAUUCAUACACAGGUGGGUCAUUGGGGAAGAGGCUCAUGAUUAACACCUGUGAGGAAGGGGCCCCGUCUUGGGUGGAGGGAGGAAUGGCGCUGCAAUGCAGUAGCAGGAGAGGCCUCAGGGGGGCGCUGCGCAGGCUCCUUAGGCAGGGCAGGUUUCUUCAGCUGAGGGCAGUUCGGCCGUAAUCCAUUAGUAGCCAACAUUGCCAGCAAUCGGGAGACUGUGAUGGGGGGACUUCCGAGACCCACUGAAGCAUCCACGACGGGGCCCCGGUGAUGCCCUUCAGCUUGUUCCACUCGCCCUUCUACUGCUUGCCAGCAGGCUUCGAAGGCUUUAUUCGAUUCAGAUUUUUUUUUUUUUUUUUUUGCAGUACGCGGGCCUCUCACUGCUGUGGCCUCUCCCGUUGUGGAGCACAGGCUCCGGACGCGCAGGCUCAGCGGCCAUGGCUCACGGGCCCAGCCGCUCCGCGGCAUGUGGGAUCUUCCUGGACCGGGGCACGAACCCGCAUCCCCUGCAUCGGCAGGCGGACUCUCAACCACUGCGCCACCAGGGAAGCCCUCAGAUUUUAUUUGUUUUAAGGACUCCUUAUGGAUGAUCCCGUGUACUUCAUAUGGUAGAAGGCGAGACUGGGCUUUGUGGGCCAUAUGAGUUCUCUGUCCCACAUUACUAUUCGUUGGUCCCCACCCCCAAUCUUUUAAAAAAUGUAAAAACCAUUCUUUGGGAUGUUUAACAGAGAGGUUAAGGAACUUGCCCAAAGCCACACAGCUAAUAAGUAAUAGAUGGAUUGUGAAGGAAUUUAAACAGGGAGGUAAUGUAGGAAGUAAGGAAGGAAGGGAGGAAGGAAGGAAGGGAGGGAAGGAGCAAAGGGAGGAAAGGAGGGAGGGAGAGAAGGAAAAAGAAGAGAGAAAUUGGGUGGAAAAGAAAAUAGAGAACGAAGUCCUGGAGUUAGGUUUUUUCUUGCAGUUAUACUGUAGUUUUCUUUGAAACAGUCAGUGGAGAGAGAAUUAGAAAAAUACUCGCUUUUUUGAAACUAGGAGCAUAUAAGCAAAUUAACUCAGGUGUGGUUGCCUUGGAGAAACCAGUCAUUCAAAAUACCAUAUUCCCAACCAAGGGCUAUUGCCAGAGACUUUAAUACUGUCCUCCUCUGUUAGCUUAUUGGGGCAUGGCAAAAGAUGUCAUAAGCCCUCGUAUCAUGGAAGAAGUGGCUUAGAGCCAGGCACAGGUUAUGUGGGCCCUCACUUUGAACGGUAAUGCACAUUUUGACCACAAGGUGGCAGUCAAGCCCUUCCAAAUGGCCUCUGCGCCCAGAAGCCUGGGUGUAAUAAUCUCGUAAAUUCCAGACACCUGAGCGCCAGGAGUAGGGCCUUGCUUCUGUGUGUGAUGGCUUUUUUUUCAUCCCUGUUUUGAGGGAAAGUGGGAAAAUUAUCCUGGACAGUUUUCAGGUUCAAGUGUGUAAUUUCUUAGCUGCAGCCAAUUCCUGAAUCCUCUGUAUUAUCUCCUGAUCAUCUUGUGCAAAGAGCAUUUGGUCCUGGGAAGAUGAUUUCUAGUGAGAGAAGCUGUUUCGUGGAAUGCAUUCUCUUUGAUGCAAAGGAGUUUUCUUGGGAGGAGAGCUCUACUGUAGGAUCUCGAGAUAGCCCAUUAGUUCCUCAAUCCUUAGGAGCUAAAUUCUUUCUUAUAUUGGCUUUAUAGUUUAUUGCAUAUGCGAGUGCUGUUACCAUUUAGUUUGAAAAGAACCAGACUAUAAGUGGAGGAGUUCAUGUAAGUCUAGAUGCCAAAAAAUGGUGGCAUGUUAAUUAAGGAGGGCUUUUCAGCACAAAGGGGUGUUAAUAUCGAGUUUUCACAUGGAUCUGAUCUAAUGCAGUGCUUCAGGUAUUUGCUAUCAUUUAUUUUUCACAACCAUGAGUUGCAGAAUUUUGAGAUGUUUUUGCUGAAAAGGUACUUGGAGAUCCUUCAUGGCAUUGUUCAUUCCACAAUGGUUUGUUGACUGCCCACCAUUAACAGGCACUUUCAGGCCAAGAGAGAAGAUUCCUGGGAGAGGCAUGUUGUGUAGACCCAAGAAUUCAGUUACAGAAAUCGGAAGGCCCUGCUUCCCCACCCUUGUAGCACAGAAGCUGUGCGACCAUGGGUUUGUUGCUUUGCCUCAGGAAACUUCAAUUCUCUCCUAAACUGGUGGCAAUAUCUAUUAGGUAGGGUAGAUUUAAGGAUAAAAUAAAAAAAUUAUGUCCCACUUGUUUAGGGCUUGGCACAUAACAUCUGUUUAGUAAAUGCUAUUAUUAUACUAUGACACAGAGGACUAUUAUCAUUUAUAGCUGUAGUACCUGGGGGGCAUUUAAAUUCUGAUCUCCAGACCUCUCCCCAAGCCAAGUUAAUCAGAAUCUCACGGGUACCAUCGGCUGACUCUGUUUGGUCAAAUGUCCCCAGAUGUUCUGAUGCACAGGGGCUGGGAACUGCCGCUCUAGGAGAGAGUGUCAGCUGAUGACACUAGACAGCUCAUGAGGUCCAAGCCAGCCCUCGGCAAAGUGUCUUCCACUGGGUAUCCUUAAGAUGUUACAUCAAAAGCGCUUUACUAGGGAAAUGCUGCCUCAAGCCGAGUAGAGGUGUUUCCUGCAGGGUUUCUCCCUACUUUUGAUACACUGAUGUACACCGUGAAUUUCUAAAUAGGAGGAGGUAAUAUGCACCGUUUCUAAAUUCAUUUGACCACUGGAUCUCUUUCUCAGGGAGCGUGAAGAUUAGUGUUGCAAAAAUCCCCCUCCAGGCAGGCUGCUGUAAGCAGUGGCCACGGCUGUAUCUGCCUCCUGGGGAAUGGGUACCAGGCCGUGCUUUUAGCGUGAAGUCACUCUGGCCGGUUGCGUCUUGUUUGUGAGUUAAAUCAACGGUGCUACCAGAUCACAGUUGAUUGGACCAGGGAUCGAUAAGUGAGCUGCAUUCUAUCCAUUCGGGCAGUUGUAGGAUAAAGGGUAAAGAAAUGACCCACGCAGAUCCCUUCAGCAGGGACGUUUGGAUGUGAGACGUGAGGAAGAUGCCGAGGUUUCUGGUACCACGACAGAUCUCAGUUACUGGCGCUUCUUUUGUAUCAAGUACAACUAUGAGCUUUUACUCUCCAGGUAUCCACGAGGCCACCCGUACAUUCAGGUCAUGCAUGGGAUGACCUCUUCCUUCCAGCCUGAAAGAACCCAACUAACGUAGCCAUCCCAGACUCCAGGUGUGAUUAUCCCCACACUACACCAUGGCAGUGGAAGGACGUGGACUCAGGCCUUCGUAUUCCAAGUUUAAUGCCAUCCAGCUGCCCUAACACAUUCCUGACUCUCAAGUCAAGGGCCUCAGCAGGACAAGUGGAGGGAAAAUGUAAUGGUAGCUAAAAAAAAAAAAAAAUCUGGAAAGCAAAUCGCAAGGACGCAAAUCUGUAGAAGUACCUAUGGUCUUAGGGGGAAAUAGGAGCUGGGCACAGGGUUAAAUAAAGGUGCCGGAGAAAUCAGGCCAGUUUGCUGUGAGGUGAUUGGAUGAGGAAUUAGCAAGGGGGUGAGUUAAAGGUCAAGGUUCCAAGUCCCAGAAGAAAACCCACCCUUAAGGUGGAAUAGACAGUAAAUAAAGCCGAGGACAAGAGGGAAAUGAGGGAAGUACCAGACACACCGAACAGGCCAAAGGAGAGGCAGGGAAAGGCCAGCAUGAACGUUGGAAAGUUUGAGGAAAAGGAGGCAGAGGAAGACAAUGCAAACGCUGAGGAAACCGGAAGCAACUGCUUCCUGCAGCAACAUCUUCCUGCGGCAAGUACUCCAGCCCCUGGGGCCGGCAGGAAAUGGAGAGCAAAGCAAGAAAGCACUGAUUGACAGUGAGAGCAAUUCUACACUGAUAGAAAAAUGUAAAUCCUCCAGAGAAACAUCUUUAUCUACAUAGCCCUUUUCAAAAAUGCAGGCGAUAUUCAGCAACGUUCAGCUAGAGAAUUUACACAAGAUGUUUUUCGAAGCGUUUAUGGUUCACUUGGUGGAAAUGGGACUGGGAGUUUUUCCUCCUCCGGUUCACAGGGAUGUCAAUGCAUCCUCUUGCCUGUGAAAUUAAAAGAAAGAUGUGAUGGUGGAGCAUCUGUACUGCCAUCACCACACCGAGACACAAGACACGGAGCCCAGAUGGGAUUUCGGUUCUGCCCGGCAGGUAUCUCUAUGCAAAUAAACCGCCUCUCAGAAAUCGCUUGGUGAUGCUAUCAUAUUGACUUUGUACUGGAUUAUAUGUUCUCCGAUAGUCUUGCUUUUGCAAUGCAAAUAGCAGUCUGUUGGAAAGAGUUUUAUGGUGACUGCUACUUGGUGCAGGCAAUAAAUCUGGGGGACAAGGAAUAAAAGUAAUAUGCAGAAAAAGGCACCCGUUCUUUUACGACUUUGCUUUUAAACGAGUGAGAAGCGCCAACAGCUGCGAAGGCUCUUGUCUGCUUUUGUCUUUUUGCUUCUUCUUCCUUAGUUCUUCUUCCUCUUCCUCCCCAUCUUCUCCACCCUUCUCCCAAUAUUAGCAUUUAAAAGUCGGCUUUCUUGGUGGAAGUAAAUACCGCUGGUCAGGAACGCUGCAGAAAGGUCUGGACUAAAAACAUCGUGGUCUGGGUGGUCACCCACGGCGGUAAGACCUUGUAGCAGAUUUUGCACUUCCUCUGUUGGGCUGUCCCUUGGGAGGAGGACCCAUAAUACACGUGGAUAACGUCCACUUCCCCCAGUCAGGCUUCCUGAGACCCUCCGAGGGUCUUCUGUAGGGUAAUGAUGUUGGGCAAGUGCAAACACGUGAAGUCUUAGGGGAAAUGAGAGAGGCUUUGCAGAGCCGCGAUGACGAGGGGCUGGGUGGUGAACGUUACAGGUUCUGGCCUGCCGCUUCCCGCCCGAGUGACCUCAGGCAAGCCACUGACACCCUCCAAAACCAGCCUCGGUAGGAAACUACAGUUUUCUCAUCUGUAAAUGCAGGCUAUUAAGGGAACCAUCCCGAAGGUUGUGUGAGGCUUUAUUUGGUUCUUCUACCCGCGAGGCACUUUGCCGAGCAAACAAUGGUGAGGAACAGAGGAGCCUGAUCUUAAUCAGAUAAUCACGCAGGUGAAGGUAUUUAAGGAUAAACUGAAGGGCUGCUGGGAAGGGAAGGAGCCUGUUGUAACCGAGGGAGUUGCCGUGCGCUGGGGCUGGAGCUGGAGCUGGAGCUGGAGCUGGAGCUGGGGCGUAGAGGGGCCGGGGAAGGUCCUUCCCGAGCAAGUAUAAGAACACACCUAGUGUCUGGCACACAGAGAGGCCUCCUAAGCAGGGAGAGGAGCUGGGAGGCGGAAGAAGGAAGAAGACGAGGUGGCUGACAAGGAGGAAGAAGAUGCAGACCCACAGGACGCUAGAGUCCUAGGCCUGUGAGCACCAGAGAAACCUCCGCGUGUGACAGCUUUAGCCUGAGAUACUCUGAGGACAGUGGCCAUGGAGGUCUGCUCGACUCAGCGGUGGGCUGACGGUCCAAGUGGUGGAAAAGUUCACAGACACCAGAUGGGCCCCAGACAAAAGUUGCAGAGGCUCUAGGGCUGUAGGAGUCGAACUUUGCUUCCCACUGAGUGCGUUUGUCAACAUCACCUGAGAAUUUCACCAACCAUGAAGGCCUGAGUGUCCACCUGCCUUCUCCUCGCCUCAGCGUUCUCGGCUGCUACAUGAGGGGUACCUGCAUCUCAACUUCGCUUCUGCUCCUUCCGUCUGUGAUGAAACGGCAAAUGGUACGUGAUCUGUGCAAAUAUAUGCACAUAUGUAAACUCACGGGUCAGUUAUGUAAGGUAGUUGCAAGGUGGCUCUGACGGGAAGGAGGUUCUUCUGGGCUUCAUGCUUAAGUCUUUUUCCAAAAUGUGCGUUCUUAAUCCUGGGGGGAGGGGGGAUUCAUUUAUUUGCUAAAGUGUUUAAGGAUGGGCUGAAACUUCAAGAAAUCCUGGUAUAGCCCAGAGUUUUCAAUUAUAUGUAGGAAAAUGACUACCAGGAAGGGGGGGAAACCAAAGCUGUGUUUAUUUUACUUUUUUAAAGAAAUAAAGUGAAUUGCUAUUUGGUGGAGGGAGAGGGGAACUCUUGAGGCAGGUGUUAUUAAUGAUGAUUGCUUAUUGGUCAGGGGCACGUGAUUGAGAAGGGCUCUGCCUGGAAAUUAGAGUUUGUCUCAAUGAAGCUCCAAGCCUGACACCACCCCUUUUAUUAAAAAAAUUGAGGUACAGUUGCUGUGCAAUAUGUUUCAGGUAUACAACAGAGCGAUUCACAGUUUUAAAGGUUAUGUUUCAUUUACAGUUAUUACAAAAUGUUGGCUAUAUUCCCCAUGUUGUACAAUAUAUCCUUGCAGCUUGUUUAUUUUAUACAUAGUAGUUUGUACCUCUUAACCCCUACCCCUAUCUUGCCCCCCCACUUCCCUCUCCCCAUUGAUAACUGCUCGUUUGUUCUCUAAUAUCUGUGAGUCUGUUUCUUUUUUGUUAUAUUCAUUAGUUCUAUUCUUUAGAUUCCACAUGUAAGUGAUAUCAUACAGUAUUUGUCUUUUUGUCUGACUUAUUUUACUAAGCACAGUACCCUCUGAGUCCGUCCAUGUUGCUGCAAAUGGAAAAAUUUCUUUCUCUUUUAUGACCGAGUGGUAUUCCGCUGUAAACCACAUCUGCCUUAUGCAUUCAUCUGUUAUUGGACACUCAGGUUACUUCCAUGUCUUGGCUCUUGUAAGUAAUACUGCUAUGAACAUUGGGGUGCAUAUAUCUUUUCGAAUUAAUAUUUUCAUUUUCUUCGGAAAUAUACCCAAGAGUGGAGUUGCUUGGUUGUAUGGUAGUUCGGGUUUUAGUUUUAGGGAAAAAUCUCCAUACUGUUUUCCACUGUGGCCGCACCAGUUUAUAGUCCCACCAAUAGUGGAUGAAGGUUCCCUCUUCUCCACCUUCUCGCCGACAUUUGUUAUUUGUGGACAUUUUGAUGACGGCCAUUCUGACACGUGUGAGGUGAUAUCUCAUUGUGGUUUUUUUUUUUUUGCGGUAUGCAGGCCUCUCACUGUUGUGGCCUCUCCCGUUGCGGAGCGCAGGCUCAGCGGCCAUGGCUCAUGGGCCCAGCCGCUCCGCGGCAUGUGGGAUCUUCCCGGACCGGGGCGCAAACCCGUGUCCCCUGCAUCGGCAGGCAGACUCUCAACCUCUGCGCCACCAGGGAAGCCCUGUGUUUUUUUUUUUUAGUUUAAUUUUUUUAAUACAGCAGGUUCUUAUUAGUUAUCUGUUUUAUACAUAUUAGUGUAUAUAUGUCAAUCCCAAUCUCCCAGUUAAUCCCACCAUGACCCCACCCUGCUUUCCCCGCUUGAUGUCCAUACAUUUGUUCUCUACAUCUGUGUCUCUAUUUCUGCCCUGCAAACCGGUUCAUCUGUACCAUUUUUCUAGAUUCCACAUAUAUGCGUUAAUAUACGUUAUUUGUUUUUCUCUUUCUGACUUACUUCACUCUGUAUGACAGUCUCUAGGUCCAUCCACGUCUUUACAAAUGACCCAAUUUCGUUCCUUUUUAUGGCCGAGUAAUAUUCCAUUGUAUAUAUGUACCACAUCUUUAUCUAUUCGUCUGUCAGUGGGCAUUUAGGUUGCUUCCAUGACCUGGCUAUUGUAAAUAGUGCUGCAGUGUACAUUGGGGAUGCAUGUGUCUUUCUGAAUUAUGGUUUUCUCUGAGUAUCUGCCCUCAUGGUGGUUUUGAUUUGCAUUUCCCUGACGAUUAGUGAUGUGGAACGUCUUUUCAUGUACUUGUUGGCCAUCUGUAUGUCGUCUUGGGAAAAAUGACUCUUAAGGUCUCCUGCCCAUCUUUUAAUCGGUUUUUUUUUUUUUUGAUGUUGAGUUGUAUGAGCUAGUGAUAAGUUUGGAUAUUCACCCAUUAUCAGUCAUAUCAUUUGCAAAUCUCUAGAGAAACUAGAGAUUUGUCUCAGUGAAUACCCAAGCCUGCCUUUGCAACACAGGGAAAAAAAGUUCUUUACGUGAAUGGGAAGUGCCUAAUGCAUUACUGCCUAUGUGGACAGACACCUUUGUCAGUAUUCAGCAUUUUGUCCAUCUGCCCCUUAACAUCACCAAGGGCUCCUGACAUGUCUGCUCUGUGGGUCUUCAGGCUUUCAGAAGGUGUUCCCUUGGCUAGAAAGGUUUAGAUUUGGCCUACUCUAGAGAUACAGGGAUGGAUGAUGACACCUCAGGAGCAGGGUAUAUCUUGGGAAUAUGUACAGGACCUGUGCUGAGGAUAAUGCUCGAAUGGUUUUGGUCUGGGUGCCUUCUUUUGGCUUGCGCGACUCUGAGUCAGAGGAAUUGAGUUUCUGAAUUGAGUGCAGUAGCAGCAAAUAGAUUGCAAGUCAGAAAAAAAAAGGAGGAAAAAAAAAAAAACCUUUCCAAGCAAGAAAGCAGAAUACUACUUGGAAGGGGCUAUUUUGCUGCAAUCCUGUAGAAAUAUGGACUUGUGUAUAUUUUUAAUUGAGAAGUGUAGAACAUGGACCACCAUCACGACUGACAUUUAUCAUGUCCCUGGUCCUCUCCCCACUCUUCCCUCCAUCCCUAAACCCCCAUCCCCUCCUUCGGCAAGUCCCUAUACCUGACCUCACCUUCUCAGUUUGAUCCACCACGGAAACACUGUCAGUGUUAUUCAUCAACCUGAAAAAUGCUACACCGAGUCCAAGGGUUGUGUGCCAUGGUCAUGUCAGUGGGAACAAUUAAUUAUUCCAUCAAGCACUUGACAUGUCAGUCAAUGAAAAAAUAGGUGCUUUAGACCUGACCGCUCAAAAUAUCUUUUCAGACACUGGCAUGCCAAGAUCUUGAUAGUAUAAUGAAUUAUUCUUUAAACGUAUCAUUUCAGGCCAUCAAUUUGGCCAUAUAGACUUUUCUUUUUUGGGGGGGAAGGACUAAAUUACAGAAGUUAUCUAAAAUAGCAAGCAAAAUAACUUUGCAACCUGGGAAGCAAAGACUGGAGCUCUGAGAAGUAGAAUUAGAAAAAUGUUCCUUGGGGAAGAUAGUGAGGUAAACACAGUUACAACUCACAAAAGUAUAAGAAAAGUUCCCUGGUGUUCUGUGAAUCUUGGGCAUGAAAAAUAGUUCAUUCUCAUUGACCACUGGAAUUUCCUCCUCAUUUUCCAUCAUAAGGCACUGGGAACCUAUGAGAUCGUUUAUUAUUCUGUUUGCGUCAUGGUACAAGCUUGCUGAGCAAUAUAGUUCCUGAUUAUUUAGGACGUGUGGGUGUUGAUGGCAGUCUUGGAUUGAAUUUUGAGUUCACUUGGAAGGUCAGUUUUUCCCGGUGAAUCUGUAUAUGUAAUUCCUUUUCCCACACUUGAUGUAUGGUUUCUCUUAUACUCCUGUGGGUAAUUAAUUCCAUUCAUUUGCAAGUCUGAGCUCUUCAAAGAUCUGCACCCAUCUCCUCUCUGAGUAUUUUGCAACCAGGGCUGAGCAAUUGCCCAGCCUACUGGCUUUAUGGGGAAUAUUUAAGACCUUGGCAUGUAUUUGGGUGACUUCUGAACAUGGCACAAAGCACGUCGAGGUUUCAGCUGGUCAAAUUGCUUUCAUCCUAAAAUGUCAGCUUUUUUUCUAGGAGCAGCAGCUGCCACAGACAUUUUUUUCCCCUCGGAUAUCUCCCCUGAAUUGCUGGAUGUCAGUGGUUAUUUUUCUGUCCUGUUAAAUAAUGCCCUGUUGCUCCAGCGAUGGUCAUUUUAAAACUGUCACAAAAUAACAGCCAUGUCAAUUUGUUUUCAGGAUUGGGUCUUAAUUGUUCACCAUUGUUUGAAAAUAGAGAACAGCCUCAUUAAUUCACUGCAGAAUAUUAAGCAUUUCAUUAAAAUAUUGCCUGGAAAGGAGAGUUACUUCAAAUCCCCUUUACAUGUCCUUCAUGGCCAGCAAAAUGAUCUAUUCUGCAUUCUUCACUCUCAACCUGGAGAAAAAUUGGGGCCUCCAUGACCUUUUAAUUUGUGCUUCAAAGAAAACAUGUCUUAAUGUUAUGUAAUAAAUCAAUCAUCACUUGCUUAAUAAUCUUAAUGCAUAUCUUUGAAGUCAGCAACCGACCAGAGAGGCUGGGAUUUUUAAAAAUUGACAACUCUCUGGUCAUUUGAUGUAAACCGUGUUUUAUUGAUCAGCCGUGGAACAGUACUUGAUAAUCAGCUGCGAGUAAAGGCAUGUGAUCAUGGGGAACAAUGAAAAAUGAAGACUAUUUUAUUUAUGUAUAUAUGUUGAUACACACGCCUUUUUAUAUAUAGUCUCUGAAGUACAUGGGAAAUAAGACUUUUUAAUAUUUUAGUAUUUGAAAUGUGUCAGAUAAUACUAACUCCCCUUAAGUCUAUCUUACCUUUGUACAUGAACAUCCUAACAUACACAGUAUUUGUAUAUUUCAUGGUUUCUAUAAUCUUGAAGUGACAGUCUUUGCCACCAUAUUUUUAUGUAUUCUAGAGAGCCGUUGUUUAAAAUGCAAAUCUACCCGUGUUCCUUCAGUCCUCUUUUGUCUAUUUGCCUUGAUUUCUUUUGUUAUCUGAAGAAUUUUUCAGUUCAGACAUUUUCAAUUUAGAAAUCACAUCCUCGUUACUUAUUAUUAAUGCUCUGUUUAUCAUGCCAAAAUACCCAAAAAAAAACCAACCCUGGAUUUUUGUUUCAUUUUGUAGAUGAGCUUCAGAUAACACAGUUGCAGAUCCGCUGCUACUUUAAUGACUAAGUGCUGAAUUAUAGGUUUACUGAUUUGAAGUGCAUUUAGAAAGAGCAACCAAAUGCAAUUAAUCUGAUAGUAAUAGGAACAGAAGUUAAUAUUGGCCAGAAGCUAGACUGCUCAUUGUAAACAUCUAACCUGAAUAAUUGACAGUCACAAAGGCUCACUUCUGGUUCCUAAAACGGUCCUCUCAUUACUGCCUGCACAACUCAGCUUGACCCCGUUCCUCUUCAGAGAAUUCUACCCAGACGUUACCAAGGUCCUAUCUUGGUCACUAACACAACAGUGAUCAUGCCUCUCUCUGAGCUUUCCGGGUUCUCUCUUCUGUCUGUCCUGGACAGCCCCUGAAGGGUAGUGUGAAGGGAAUACGUGGGUUCAUAACCUCAGCUCAAGGCUCCCAGCUCUAUGACCUUGGACAAGGCAUUGGACCCUCGGGGCUACCCUUUAGGAAUGCCUACCUUCAGGGGUUGCUGUAAGGAUCAGCAAAUCAUGCCCGGCUUACUAUGGGA